CCUCUUGUGGGUGCUAACUGCUAACGCUAACUGUCUGCUGACACACUUGCUGUCCUCUCAUGAUGCUAAAUGCUAACGCUAACUGCCUGCUGACACACCUGCCAUCCUCUCGUGAUUCAUAUCGACAUAAGUGUCAUAUUCGACAGCGAUUGGUUUUCUGUAUUUGUGACGAACCAAAUCUCGCUUGAACAGGAUUCGUUUGAAUUUCAAAUUGCAGAGUGAAACACAGAAGUGGUCGUACUUGUGUUUCUUGGGUUUGGUGUUGAUGUCUCCGAGGACGUUGAUGUCUGAGUAGUCGAUCCUGAACCUGCUGAGCAGCGUCGCCAUCCUGACGGGACAAUCACAGAUAUUGUAACUGCGGUGAGGUUGUGUUUUGUGUGUGUUGGUCGCCUCACACUCGGCGGUCGUGGUCGAUGCGGUUGAUCUUCCCGCCGAUGAAGACGCGGAUCCUGCAGUCGCCCCACUUGCUCCUGUUGGUCAGCAGAUGAUUCAUUCAGCUUGGUUAGAUGUAAGAGAUAAAAGAGACUUGCCUCCGUCAUCAAACAGCCACCAGACGUCGAUGGUUCCUUUGCCCUGUUUCUUCUUGAACUGCUGACUGGACUCUAACAGCCGCUGGUCAGCGAGGCUCAGAGGAGAUUUGGUCUCGGCUGCAGGUCACAACAAGAAGAAAACAUGACGCGACACGGACUAAGGUUAAACAAACCCUUGGACAUUCAUUCUCCGUCUCCUCCGCUGUCAGAUGUGAAGAUGGAUAUAACAACUCUUCUUCCCUUCCUGCCCUUCGUUACCUCUCAUGAUGAGCGGACUGCUCUGACUGCUGGUGGUUUUCGACGGACAGGAGUCCGAGUCCGAGUCUUUGGCCGGACUAACAGUGACCAGCACCUGCUGCUUGGUGUCGACUGGCGUCUUCUCGUGGGGCGACAGCAGAUCGUCUGCAGGGGGGACGAAGGACAGAUCAGCUCACACAGAAAAAGAUCUGGGCACCUUGUCCGUGGAUGUGAGAGACGUCGAGUCCGUCCUGCAGUCGCAGGAUCACGACUCCAAACUGCAGGUCGAAGGCGUCGCUGGAAUAUGAAGCGGAGGAAAUCAGUAAGAUGGAACUUUCUGGUUUCUCACCUGGAAGACUUUGGGUGCGCUGACCAACGACGCCAGAGCCGACGACAGAGUGGCCGAGAAGAUCCCUGCGGUGAUCAGAGGCCCGAAGCCCGACACCAGACCCAUCACCUGGACGACAACCAACACACAAGUCUCGUCUCAGGACAUUCUGAUGAAGAGCAUCACGCCCCAUAUGUUCAGCAUGCAGCGGAUCUGCAGUACAACACACAAACACAUGGUUCAUCCUACAGGGACCAGCCUGGGUCCUCAGAUGGGAGAGGCUUCCUGAUCAGCUGUAAACACCUCAGCAUCUAUGAAAGCAUCACGUGACACUGACCAGGACUCCUUUCACCCAACCGAACUUGAUGGUUCCUCCCUUGGCCUCCUUCGCCGCCAACGCCGCCGCCGCCUGCUCAGCGGCCGACGGCUCGUCUCCAUUGGCCAGACCGUCUUCAAACGGCUCCUGGCGAGACGGAAGCAGAUGAUGUGACGAUUCUGAAACCGCGAUACAAACUUCCACGAUCUCAUAUCGUGACUCCUCCUCGUCCCGCCGCAGCUCCGACAGCGACGGUCUGCUCAGCUUCUCCCCCAAAGGCGCAGCCGUCUGCCGGUAGAACUCGAUGUUGGGCACCGCGUCGAUGGUGUUGUGACCGAACGUCCUCUGGUAGUAGGUGUUGGAGUGGUCCGACAC